rnacentral:snRNA from 11 species
GUGCUUGCUCAGGCAGCACAUAUGAUAAAUUGGAAUUAGCAUGGCCCCUGCGAAACGAUGACUCUCGAACAGUAAAUUCAACGAAUCUUUUU